rfam:Lupinus angustifolius cultivar Tanjil contig_6117, whole genome shotgun sequence.
CCGGCAGUGAUGAGUCCCUAACAUGUUAGAAGUAUCCCUAGUUGUGUACUUGGGUUUCUUCAAUGAAAUUUACUUGUUACGCUUGGCUUCUGAGCUUC